rnacentral:rRNA from 1 species
GACGAACGCUGGCGGCGUGCUUAACACAUGCAAGUCGAACGAAGUCGCGAACGGGUGAGUAACGCGUAAUAAACCUGACCUUCAGAGGAGGACAACAGUUGGAAACGACUGCUAAUGCCGCAUAAUUAAGGAGGGGAGUGGGUUUGAUUAGCUAGUUGGCGGGGUAACGGCCCACCAAGGCGAUGAUCAGUAGCCGGUCUGAGAGGAUGAACGGCCACAUUGGGACUGAGACACGGCCCAGACUCCUACGGGAGGCAGCAGUGGGGAAUCUUCCGCAAUGGACGAAAGUCUGACGGAGCAACGCCGCGUGAGUGAUGACGGCCUUCGGGUUGUAAAGCUCUGUUAAUCGGGACGCGGUACCGGAAUAGAAAGCCACGGCUAACUCCGUGCCAGAGCCGCGGUAAUUC